GAUGAAGAACGCAGCGAAAUGCGAUAAGUAAUGCGAAUUGCAGAAUUUCCGUGAGUCAUCGAAUCUUUGAACGCACAUUGCGCCCCUUGGUAUUCCAUGGGGCAUGCCUGUUCGAGCGUCAUUUGUACCUUCAAGCUUUGCUUGGUGUUGGGUGUUUGUCUCGCCUUUGCGUGUAGACUCGCCUUAAAAUAAUUGGCAGCCGGCGUAUUGAUUUCGGAGCGCAGUACAUCUCGCGCUUUGCACUCAUAACGACAGCGUCCAAAAGUACAUUUUACACUCUUGACCUCGGAUCAGGUAGGGAUACCCGCUGAACUUAAGCAUAUCAAUAAGCGGAGGA
rnacentral:misc_RNA from 1 species